rnacentral:rRNA from 1 species
GAUGAACGCUGGCGGCGUGCCUAAUACAUGCAAGUCGAGCGAACAGACGAGGAGCUUGCUCCUCUGACGUUAGCGGCGGACGGGUGAGUAACACGUGGAUAACCUACCUAUAAGACUGGGAUAACUUCGGGAAACCGGAGCUAAUACCGGAUAACAUGUUGAACCGCAUGGUUCAACAGUGAAAGACGGUCUUGCUGUCACUUAUAGAUGGAUCCGCGCCGCAUUAGCUAGUUGGUAAGGUAACGGCUUACCAAGGCAACGAUGCGUAGCCGACCUGAGAGGGUGAUCGGCCACACUGGAACUGAGACACGGUCCAGACUCCACGGGAGGCAGCAGUAGGGAAUCUUCCGCAAUGGGCGAAAGCCUGACGGAGCAACGCCGCGUGAGUGAAGAAGGUCUUCGGAUCGUAAAACUCUGUUAUUAGGGAAGAACAAAUGUGUAAGUAACUAUGCACGUCUUGACGGUACCUAAUCAGAAAGCCACGGCUAACUACGUG